rnacentral:RNase_P_RNA from 1 species
GAGUCGGUCGGAUGGUUGCUCUGGGCUUGUUUAGGCAACCCUGGAGAGGAAAGUCCGGGCACCGCAGAACAGGAUGCUCCCUAACAGGGAGAGAUUCGCUUCGGCGAAUAAUGGAUAGUGCAACAGAAAAUAAACCGCCUUCGGGUAAGGGUGAAAUGGUGGUGUAAGAGACCACCAGGUUUUGAAGAAAUUCAAAAUGUUUGUAAACCCCAUUCGGUGCAAGAUCGAAUAGGCUCUGAGAUGUUGUUCGCAUCGUUUGAGGAGCGGGUAGAUUGCUAGAUAUUCAUGGUAACAUGAAUACCAGAUGAAUGACCAUCCCUUGGAUCAAGAUAUUGAUUCAAGGACAGAACUCGGCUUAUAGACCGACUCA